rnacentral:rRNA from 1 species
AAAGACCUUAUGCUUUUGGAGCGGCCGAUGUCUGAUUAGCUAGUUGGUAGGGUAAUGGCCUACCAAGGCGACGAUCAGUAGUUGGUCUGAGAGGAUGGCCAACCACACUGGGACUGAGACACGGCCCAGACUCCUACGGGAGGCAGCAGUGGGGAAUUUUGGACAAUGGGCGCAAGCCUGAUCCAGCAAUGCCGCGUGAGUGAAGAAGGCCUUCGGGUUGUAAAGCUCUUUCAGUUGAGAGGAAAAGGUUGUGACUAAUAAUCACAAUUCAUGACAGUAUCAACAGAAGAAGCACCGGCUAACUACGUGCCAGCAGCCGCGGUAAUACGUAGGGUGCAAGCGUUAAUCGGAAUUAUUGGGCGUAAAGGGUGCGCAGGCGGUUCUGUAAGUCAGAUGUGAAAUCCCCGGGCUUAACCUGGGAAUU